GCCCACAUAUACCAGAGUCCAUUAAAUUAAAGAAGUCGUGGCUCCUCAGCCGCCAGAAAACAAAAGCCAUGCAAAGCGCAGUAGAUCCGUCAACAACCAAGAAAACAACCAAGAAAUGAAAAGGAAGAUUUACCUUUUCAAUGCCGAAGAAGAGCCACUCUUCCAUAAAAAUAAUAUGUAUGCCAGUUUUGAGAGUAGUAGCAAAAGACUAAAUGAUAAAG
rnacentral:lncRNA from 1 species